rnacentral:rRNA from 1 species
AACGAACGCUGGCGGCAGGCUUAACACAUGCAAGUCGAGCGGGUGUAGCAAUACAUCAGCGGCGCACGGGUGCGUAACGCGUGGGAACGUGCCUUCAGGUGCGGAACAACCAAGGGAAACUUUGGCUAAUACCGCAUAAUAUCUCCGGAUCAAAGAUUUAUCGCCUGAAGAGCGGCCCGCGUCUGAUUAGCUAGUUGGUGAGGUAACGGCUCACCAAGGCGACGAUCAGUAGCUGGUCUGAGAGGAUGAUCAGCCACACUGGAACUGAGACACGGUCCAGACUCCUACGGGAGGCAGCAGUGAGGAAUAUUGGACAAUGGGGGAAACCCUGAUCCAGCCAUGCCGCGUGAGUGAUGAAGGCCUUAGGGUUGUAAAGCUCUUUUGUCCGGGAAGAUAAUGACUGUACCGGAAGAAUAAGCCCCGGCUAAAUUCGUGCCAGCAGCCGCAGUAAUAC